rnacentral:lncRNA from 1 species
AUGGGCCUUUCCAGGGCAGGAUUCAUGAAAGAUGAAAGAGACCUCAGGAUCAUCUCAAAUAAUGCCAUCUGUCUGUAUACCAGACUCUUGAUGCUAGAUGUCAAGCCAGAGCAACAAUUUACUGUUUUAAAACAAAGGACCUCUUCCUUGGAACUGUGCUAUAAACUUGAAACACAGGAGAGCAUUCAAGACCAUUCCUGUUCUGAUCAGCACUUUCAUGUAAGGGAACAUGCUAGCUUCCUCAACCGCAAUGCAAUCCAAAUGCAGGCUUAAAGGUCCGACAAUCCAAGUGUUGCAUCAAACUACGAACUUGUGGAUUGUUCUCCUGGGCUCUGCUGCUCAUCUCACUUCAAUCCCUUCAGCAAAAACUGUGAGUAGCUGCAUUCAGAGCAGUGCAAAGCAAUUGUCUCACAUAUGAAGCAUGGCUUUGUAGGGUUUUAAGUUUAAUUACAACCUUUAGCUUCCAUUUAUUUUCUGACCCCAGUCACUGUUGCUGUCACAAAUGUGAAACCCACCAUGUCUACUGAGUUUGUGUAACCACAGAGUCCUCAUUACUCAUUUUACUUCAUCACCUUUCUUGUCUUGCCUUGAUCCUCUCCAUAACAUGGUGUCAUGGUUCUGCUUGAGUGGGCAGCCGAGCUCCACCACAGCCGCUCUCUCACUCCCCCUCCUCAGAGAGGAAUGGGGAGAAAAUAUGUGAAAAGGGCUCAAAGGUUGAGAUAAGGACGAGAAAAUCACGCAGUAAUUAUUGUUAACAGGCAAAACAGACUCGGCAUAGGGAGAUAGUAAGAUUUAUUGCUUAUUACUAACAAGCUAGAGAAGUGAGAAACAAAGGAAAGAAACCAAAAGCACCUUCCCCCCCAUCUACCCUCUUCCACCUCCUCCCCCCGAACGGCGCAGGGGAACGGGGGAAUGGGGGUUAUGGUCAGUCUACAGCACUUCUUCUCUGCUGCUCCUUCUCGGUCACUCUCGUCCCCUGUGCUGUGGGGUCCCACUCACGGGA